AAUCAUGCCCUCUCAGCCCAACCAACCUCACAGGACUGUUGUGGUGAAAAUAGGAAGGAAAAGGUAACUUGGACUUUGAGGAAUUGAGGCCUUUGAACUAUGGUGCUGGAGAAGACUCCUGUGAGUCCCUUGGACUGCAAAGUGAACAAACAAGUCAGUCCUAGAGGAAAUCAACCCUGCUCUUUAGAAGGACGGAUCCUGAAGAUGAAACUCAAAUAUUUGGCCACCUAUUGAGAAGGAAGGACUCACUGGAGAAGAACCUAAUGCUGGGAAAGAUUGAGGGCAAAAGAAGAAGGGGCCGACAGAGAAUGAGGUGGCUGGAUGGAGUCACUGAAGCAGUAGGUGUGAGUUUAAAUGGAUUCCAGAGGAUGGCAGAGGACAGGAAGGCCUGGAGGAAUGCAGUCCAUAGGGUCGCGAUGGGUCGGACACGACUUCGGAACUAACAACAACAAACUUGGACAAUCUUGAAGAAAGAUAAGGAAUUUUUGAAAUUUGAAUGGACAAGUAUAUUCAUUUCUAUUUAAGCAUGCUCACAUAUGUUUUAGGACAAGUUCCAAAAUCAAACCUCAGUUCUGUUUUUUAACAUCAGAAGGAAGGGUAAUAUUUGAACUAUUUAUUUUGAGGUACAUAAAUCGUAUAAAAUAGCAUUUCAUUCAGUU